rnacentral:rRNA from 1 species
UGGGGAAUAUUGCACAAUGGGCGCAAGCCUGAUGCAGCCAUGCCGCGUGUGUGAAGAAGGCCUUCGGGUUGUAAAGCACUUUCAGCGGGGAGGAAGGCGGUGAGGUUAAUAACCUCAUCGAUUGACGUUACCCGCAGAAGAAGCACCGGCUAACUCCGUGCCAGCAGCCGCGGUAAUACGGAGGGUGCAAGCGUUAAUCGGAAUUACUGGGCGUAAAGCGCACGCAGGCGGUCCGUCAAGUCGGAUGUGAAAUCCCCGGGCUCAACCUUGGAACUGCAUUCGAAACUGGCAGGCUAGAGUCUUGUAGAGGGGGGUAGAAUUCCAGGUGUAGCGGUGAAAUGCGUAGAGAUCUGGAGGAAUACCGGUGGCGAAGGCGGCCCCCUGGACAAAGACUGACGCUCAGGUGCGAAAGCGUGGGGAGCAAACAGG